AUUGAACGCUGGCGGCAGGCCUAACACAUGCAAGUCGAGCGGAGCGGAGGACGGGGGAGUAAUGCCUAGGAAUGUGACUGGUAGUGGGGGAUAACGUCAGGAAACGGGCGCUAAUACCGCAUACUCUAAGAUGAGCCUCGGUCGGAUUAGCUAGUUGGUGGGGUAAAGGCCUACCAAGGCGACGAUCCGUAACUGGUCUGAGAGGAUGAUCAGUCACACUGGAACUGAGACACGGUCCAGACUCCUACGGGAGGCAGCAGUGGGGAAUAUUGGACAAUGGGCGAAAGCCUGAUCCAGCCAUGCCGCGUGUGUGAAGAAGGUCUUCGGAUUGUAAAGUACUUUAAGUUGGGAGGCGUUACCAACAGAAUAAGCACCGGCUAACUUCGUGCCAGCCGCCGCGGUAAUUC
rnacentral:rRNA from 1 species